GCAACCUCAUGGUUUCCAGUCAGAUUCGCUAACCACUGAGCCACGACGGGAACUCAAGGGAAUGCUUUCUUAAAAUGAAAGGCCCAUUUAGCUGACCUUGCCUUCUGCUUUUCUUUACAUCUGGAACUCAAAUGCUAUACUGGAGUUUGAGCAGCCAUCCUGUGACUGCAAAGGAACACGCACAUGUUAAGGAUGCUGGGUGAAGGGAAGAGAGAAGGUCCUGGCUCUCCAAGGACAUUGUGGAUCUUCCAGAUCAGCCCUGGACUAAAAAAGACGUAUAUGAUAGGGUUUCGAGAUUCAGUCCUCAGAGGAAAGCUCAAGGGGAAAUGGAGAGGGUGGAAAGAGUGAGACUGAGUUGGCGGAACUCUGCUCUGCCGUUUUAAACAGAGCGCUGCGGAGGGCGCCGUGCUGAUCUCCGGCCCACAGUGGCGCCAACCCCCGCGUCCUGGCUUCCUGCCCCCCGAACCGGUGAACCCACUCACUCGCUGAGGAGGCCUCCUACAAGCCGUGAUUCUGCACUUGGAACCCUGGGCUGGCGCCGCGGAUGCCCUCGGGUAGCCCAUCUUCCACGGUCUGCGUUUCACGCAGGGGAAGCCGAGGCUCGGAGGCGCCCAGGGCCUGCUUAGAGUUACAGUCGGAUGCGUUUGCGGCAGAGGCGAAGCUGAUUUUCUAACCUGUGAACUGACACUGGAGUCCCCGACAGAACUGGGCUGGGGCCGCUGACCGCCUAAAGCCUAAACAAGGAGAAGGGACUGAUUCCCAGGCAAUGGAGCUCAAACUCCAAGAAGGCAUCCUUGCGCCCGGGUGGGGGGAAGGCGGCUCCCAGCUACACGCUUCUGCAAGAUCCCCCAAAGGGCUGCCACCCUCUGUUCCACUGAGAAAUUAAACUCCGACUUUGCCACCACGCUGGCUUUUCCACUAGAACGCUGUUUUGCGAAAGAGCUGGCGCUUUGCUAGAUUUCUUUUUUCCUUAAGGCAUUUGCUUGGCAUUUCCGGGUCCUUGAUCAUCAGAGGAACAUGAAGGGACAAAUGAGAAGAGACGGGGAAAUUCCACAACCAACCACUUAGAAAUUCAACCCAAAACUUCCAUUAUGGUCUAGACCCAACCUUUGUUCCUGUGAAAAAACUGUGGGUGUGGAAUAUUUUGUAAUAUGCGUUUUCUAUGUAAUCACCCACAAAACAUUAUGAAUUAACGUAAUAGCAAAUAUCUGAGUAUUUACG